GUGCCAGCAGCCGCGGUAAUACGGAGGGUGCGAGCGUUGUCCGGAAUCACUGGGCGUAAAGGGCGCGUAGGCGGCGCGAGCAGUCGGCGGUGAAAGCCCGGAGCUCAACUCCGGGUCGGCCGUCGAUACUCUCGUGCUUGAGCACUGUAGAGGCAGGUGGAAUUCCGGGUGUAGCGGUGGAAUGCGUAGAGAUCCGGAAGAACACCGGUGGCGAAGGCGGCCUGCUGGGCAGUAGCUGACGCUGAUGCGCGACAGCGUGGGGAGCAAACAGGAUUAGAUACCCCCGUAGUCC
rnacentral:rRNA from 1 species